rnacentral:lncRNA from 1 species
UCACUUCUUACCAUUCUUUACCCAAGAAAAAAUAAGAUAAAACUCUUCUACUCCUGAAAUCAUACCGUUAGCCCUUUUCUAAUCCAUUUCCAGUAAGUCGUAUCUUUCUUAGAAUAGGAUGUGGCCUAACUAGUACUUUAUAGAGAAAAUAAUUACCUUUUUAACACUUAUAAUCAAUAUGUGUAUACAUUCACCUUGCAUCAGAGCACUCUACUGAUGGCUUGAUCAACUUAAAUAUUACUUUCCAACUAUACUGAACUUGUGAUAUAAAUUAUGAUUACCCAAAUCCAUUAUGUCAUUUGUUAACUAUUUGUCCCACUUAACAAUUGAUCCAAGUCAUCAUGUAGCAUCUCAACAUCGUCAACAAAGCUAGAAAUACUGAAGAAUUUAAUGUCAUUAACAAACUUUAGUAAUUAAUGCCAGUAAGAAAACACAGCCCCAAGCACGGACCCCUGAAGCACUCCACUAGUAUUGUUAUUGAACAAUGUUCAGUAUUGACUCCUGUGGUAUUGUUAUUAAACAAGGUUACAUAUUAACUCCACUAGUAUUGUUAUUAAACAUGGUUACAUAUUAACUCCACUAGUAUUGUUAUUAAACAAGGUUCCAUAUUGACUCCACUAGUAUUGUUAUUAAACAAGGUUCCAUAUUGACUCCUGUAGUAUUGUUAUUAAACAUGGUUCCAUAUUGACUCCACUAGUAUUGUUAUUAAACAAGGUUCCAUAUUAACUCCACUAUUAUUGUUAUUAAACAUGGUUACGUAUUGACUCCACUAGUA